CAUGUGGCCAUCCUUCACAUGGUGGACAAAUCCUUCCUGAUUCUACCUCCAUCCAUUGCCAUCAACCUGGUUAACUCAAGAUGCAGCUUCAUAGCUGCCUACAGACCUUUAUACAUCAUACCCCUGCCCUGCUGCUACUGCACACUGCCUUAUUGCUUGCCUGCUAAACUCCACUGC